GAGAUGUAAAUCUGCUCCUUUGGGAAAGUGGGUUGAGGAAUAGUUAACGGAGUUUAAUGCAGAUAAGGGUCAGGUGUUGCAUUUUGAGAAAUCAAACAGGGUAGAAC